rnacentral:lncRNA from 1 species
CCACAUAAACUUUGGCAUCUGCCCCUUGACCAUUUUUCUCCAACAGUAAUGAAGACUUCAUGAAAGGCCUUGAACUCUAAGUCGUCCCUGUUGAAUUGUGCUUAAUCAAGGCAAAUAUUCCCAGCCUAAGAGGACAGCUAGAAGAAGAAAGGAGUAGAGAUUUAAUUUUCUUAUAUAUUGCCGUAACUAUAAACAAUGCCUUAUCUUCUCAAUAACUCUCAUGAAAUAACAAGCGCUUGUGUUUUUUAAAGUAUUUACACCAGCCCUUAGAGAUUUUAUUAGACUCAUGAUUCACAGAUGAGAAAUUUUCCUCCUCUACAGUGUUUAGUAACUGGAGUAAGAAUUACUCAGUAGACUGUCUAUACAGACAAAUGAAUCUGAAUAUGUCUUCUGGCUAUUAACCCAUCAUUUACUGGUGAUUUUCAUUUAUCAAUGUUUUUCUGAGCUGACUGAUUGGGUCAAGAUGAUCCCUCUGGUUUGAAUACUGUAGACAUAGAAUUAAACAGUUUCUGAAAAUUAUGUUGCUCUGUCAUAUGGAUAUAGGAUUUCAGCAGAGCAGCACAAAUUCUCCUAAAAU